rnacentral:misc_RNA from 1 species
GAUGAAGAACGUAGCGAAAUGCGAUAAGUAAUGUGAAUUGCAGAAUUCAGUGAAUCAUCGAGUCUUUGAACGCACAUUGCGCCCCCUGGUAUUCCGGGGGGCAUGCCUGUUCGAGCGUCAUUUCAACCCUCAAGCUCUGCUUGGUAUUGAGUCCAUGUCAGCAAUGGCAGGCUCCAAAAUCAGUGGCGGCGCCGCUGGGUCCUGAACGUAGUAAUAUCUCUCGUUACAGGUGCUCGGCGUGCUUCUGCCAAAACCCCAAUUUUUCUAUGGUUGACCUCGGAUCAGGUAGGGAUACCCGCUGAACUUAAGCAUAUCAAUAAGCGGAGGA